AUGAAGGCCUUAGGGUCGUAAAGCUCUUUCGCCAGGGAUGAUAAUGACAGUACCUGGUAAAGAAACCCCGGCUAACUCCGUGCCAGCAGCCGCGGUAAUACGGAGGGGGUUAGCGUUGUUCGGAAUUACUGGGCGUAAAGCGCGCGUAGGCGGAUCAGAAAGUUGGGGGUGAAAUCCCAGGGCUCAACCCUGGAACUGCCUCCAAAACUCCUGGUCUUGAGUUCGAGAGAGGUGAGUGGAAUUCCGAGUGUAGAGGUGAAAUUCGUAGAUAUUCGGAGGAACACCAGUGGCGAAGGCGGCUCACUGGCUCGAUACUGACGCUGAGGUGCGAAAGUGUGGGGAGCAAACAGGAUUAGAUACCCUGGUAGUCCACACCGUAAACGAUGAAUGCCAGUCGUCGGGUAGCAUGCUAUUCGGUGACACACCUAACGGAUUAAGCAUUCCGCCUGGGGAGUACGGUCGCAAGAUUAAAACUCAAAGGAAUUGACGGA
rnacentral:rRNA from 1 species